UAGGCGGGUUGAUAAGUUUGAAGUGAAAUCCUAUAGCUUAACUAUAGAACUGCUUUGAAAACUGUUAACCUAGAAUAUGGGAGAGGUAGAUGGAAUUUCUGGUGUAGGGGUAAAAUCCGUAGAGAUCAGAAGGAAUACCGAUUGCGAAGGCGAUCUACUGGAACAUUAUUGACGCUGAGACGCGAAAGCGUGGGUAGCAAACAGGAUUAGAUACCCUGGUAGUCCACGCCCUAAACGAUGUACACUAGUUGUUGUGAGGCUCGACCUUGCAGUAAUGCAGUUAACACAUUAAGUGUACCGCCUGGGGAGUACGGUCGCAAGAUUAAAACUCAAAGGAAUAGACGGGGACCCGCACAAGCGGUGGAGCAUGUGGUUUAAUUCGACGAUACACGAAGAACCUUACCUGGACUUGACAUAGUAAGAACUUUCUAGAGAUAGAUUGGUGUCUGCUUGCAGAAACUUAUAUACAGGUGCUGCACGGCUGUCGUCAGCUCGUGUCGUGAGAUGUUGGGUUAAGUCCCGCAACGAGCGCAACCCUCGUCAUUAGUUGCUAACAGUUCGGCUGAGAACUCUAAUGAGACUGCCUACGUAAGUAGGAGGAAGGUGAGGACGACGUCAAGUCAUCAUGGCCCUUACGUCCAGGGCUACACACGUGCUACAAUGGGGUAUACAAAGAGCAGCAAUACGGUGACGUGGAGCAAAUCUCAAAAAUAUCUCCCAGUUCGGAUUGUAGUCUGCAACUCGACU
rnacentral:rRNA from 1 species